UCUGCUCGCUCUCCAGCUUACGGCACAUUUCCGCCACUUGUAAGACCUUCUGACCCUGGAUCAGCACAGAAAGGAUGACAUCAGAAAUAAUUUCAUACCACGUGGGCCCACACAGAGUACAGGAAAGGGAAACCCCCAAAAAGCACAACAGGGUAUAUUGCUCACGAGAAGUCUGAUUGCUCAACAGUUUGUAAAGUUAUGGGAUCAGAACAGACAGCUGUGGACAGACAGGAAGUGAGACUGUUACCUUGGCGAUGAUCGCCUGCAGUUUCUUCACAGGAUGGUCGCUCUGCAUGGUGAGAUCGAUCAGCUGUUUCCUCGCUGCUCUCUGACUGGCUGUCAGCUGAUCCCGCAGCACUUGAGUCCGGCUUUUCACCUGAUCCCUGGCCUCUGUCAGAUCUCUGUCCACCGACACGUUCCCCAUCUGGAGGUUGGUCAAUUUCACCUGUGCGCCGGCGACGUCUUCCUGAGAGAGGAGGAGACGACCGGGCGCAGGAAGGGGACGCUGGCCUCCUCAUCACAGGGGGACGGCACAGACAUCCGGUUCUUUUUCUUCAUCUUCUCCAGCCUCUCAGCCUCCUCCAGGCCAAGAGAUGCUAACUGAACACAGAAAGGAGACAGGACGUUUACACAUACAAGGAAUUUGCUAUUUUGUUAUCUGGGUUUUAGUGCAUGUAAACGUUCUGCAAAGGCUAGAAAAAUCCCUAUGUUCCCUCCAGAGGGAGUUUCUAUCCCACAAUGACUGAACCCAGUCCAGGUUUUGUCUCGGAUUACAAACUUGUCAAUGGUAUUUUCUGACUGAAACAGGAGAGAGGAGUGUUUUAGUGUGAGGUACCCUCUCGUUAUGAGAGAUCUGGUACACUGUGAUGGUGUCGUUGUACAGCUUCUCGAUAUCCUCCAUCACUUCUUUGUGCUUCUUCACCACAGCGAACGAGGUGUCCUUCAGAUCAUCUAGUUUAUGCUUCGAUUGUGACAACAUCUGCUCCCUGGAGAAAAACACACACAAUACCUUCCUUUAAAACAACAAAUCUGUCUGUCCUAUGUGUGUCCGGAUGCAGGGUCGGGGGGGUAAAAUGUAAUCCUUCACAGUGACUAGUUUCCUGUCAAAAAUGUAAUGUAAUCUGAGUACCACAAUCUAAAAGUACUUUUGGAUUACCUCAAUUUCAUCUACACUACUUUUACUGAAGAAAAAUAUCUGAGUACUUCUUACGCCUCUGCUGAGGACCAAUGGGAGGGUUAGGGCGGGAUAGUGUUGAGCUUUAACCUCGUCACACUGACCUGUCAGAGCUGAACCUGGAGGUCAGCUGCUUCAGGAGGUCCUCCCACUGCUGCUGCUCGAACUCCAGAUGUCUCUGCUGCUGCGCCCACAGCCGCUCCAAGUGCUGCAGGUGAAGGCGCCGCACCUGAGCCGACUGACGCUCCGCAUCCUGCAGGUCGCGCUCCAGGUUCUGCAGCACAGUAAAGGAGGUGCGAGUCGGCGAGUUGAAGAGGGAAGCGGAGGAGGUGCGCUCACCUUGAUGACGUUGUCCACGCCGUCCAGCUGCCUCUCAAACGUCUGGCUGAGCACCGUCAGAUCACUGCGCAGCUCGGCGGCUCGGGUCUGACGGAGGAUGGACCUCCAGCCCUCGUUCAGCUUCAGCAGGUUCACCGCGGCAUUCUUCUCCUCCUUCUGCAGCUUGUCCUGAUAACAGAGACAACAAGGUGUUCAGUGACUUAAGGAUAAAGAUGUGCUCCCUGAAAUACUGAUCCAUCAAUACUGAUAUUUUCUGGCUUUGUGCAUGUUGGGUGUAUAAACACAUUUUUAAUCUGAAAGGACAAUAUUUUAACAUAUUUUUCCUAAUCAUUGAGCUUAUGAACUUAAGGGUUCUCAUUAUUUUAACAACUCUGAACAGUGAGUGAUUCAUAAAUAGGAAUAUAAAUGAUAGUGACCUUCAGAAACAGGGUGAGGACCUCCUCCUUCUUCCUGUUCAUCUCCUCCUCGGCCUGAGCUCUCUGCUGCAGGAACAGCAGCCUCUCCUCCUCCGUCUUUCCUCCACCUUUACCUUCUCCACCUUUCUUGGCUUUCUUCGGCAUGAUCGUUCCUCCUCUUCCUCACUCUGCUGCUCUGUUUGAUAUUGAGGGCAGAACACAGGAAAAGAAUCAAUAUCUGAAUAUGUUAACCUUUUCUUUUCAUUGUUGUUAUAUUAAUGACAUUUGUUCCUUUUGGAUAAAUAUCAGGCUUGUGAUUACGUUUGAAACAGGGCAAAAAAUAACACAUAAGACUCACCAUUAAAGUGAUGAACACAUGAAUGUAUAAAUCAUUUCAAUACUAAUACAAAAAUAACAAUGAUUACAAAAAAAGAUACCAAUAAUAAAUAUUAAAAGAGAAAAGACCACCCUAAAGAAAUUUCACAAAUACAACUAUGAAAUGAGAAUGUAAAUCUUUUGAAAGCUGGACUUGUAACAGAGCAUUCUCCACUUGUUUUAGUACUUACUAUUAGCAUUAGCUAGCCUAGCCUAAUGUAAUGCUAGUUAGCCAAAGUGAGCUAAUGUAAAACCAGACUUUAACGUCUCCUUUUAGCGGAAAUGUAACACCCAAAACAAAACGUCGGUCAGACACUAAGAGCUUCGUCUUGUGUAGAACACAUCGAAAGUGUAAAACAAAUAACUUACUUUAGGGAUCAAGCUGUCGGACUUUGUUUACGCUUCGACCUGCUAGUGUGUGUUUGUGAUCCGUCUCCAUGGCAACAGCUACAGAGCAUUUUGUCUGACACCGAUUAAAAGCAAGAAUAAAUCAAUUUAAUAAAAACCUAUUUAUCCUUUGGGAGUUUGCUCUGCAACAGUUGAAAAGUGUACAAACACAAAAAGAUUAAGAUUUGUUAAAUAUUAGGUGCAUUUGUUUUGUAUCAGAUUUGUUAUG